UACUCCUGUUUAAAGGCUUUAAAACGAAAACUUUUGGCCUUUUUGUUAAGGAGUUCAAUCGACGAAUUAGAUCUAAAAGAUGUCUUCCAUAACAUCAUUAUACCGUUUAAUAGACACACAUAUAUAAUAUAUAUAUAUAUAAUUAACACAGUGACAUACAACAAUACUAACAGGAGGGCGGACUGCACACAUAAACACUUUUGCAAUUCACGGAUAAUGUGCCAUAAUAAGAUAUCCCUAUCGACAGUUGACCUUUUACCAUCAUCGCGACCACUACUUUGGUCUUAUAAUUAACUUAACUUUUCUACCACGUAUAUAGUGCGUGUGUGUGUGUCGCCGCCAGCUCCCUGUUAGAUUAUAUCAUCUCUAGGUGUCCAGCAGGUUGUAUUAUCUAUUUAAUAUUUCAAUCAUUUAAUAAAUAUUUAUUUAUAUCGUUGUUAACCAAGAGUGUUAUAUAUAUAUUGUAGUGCGACCCUUGAUAGUUCCUCUAAGGGAAUAUAAAUUAAAUAGGAAAUCUCAGUACCUAAGGUAAAUAUAGCCUAGCUAGCUAUCCCCCGUUGGUCCCUUAGAAUACUGUUGACGGGCAUUUAGGCUCAACUCCUAAAUAGCAACGUAACAAUAAUUUUCAUCAUUAUGGUCGACUAUCCUCUUUAGAGAUGACCCGUCAAAAUAUGUCAAAGUCUAUUUUACAAGAAUGUCAUAUGGAAUCUUGUAAUACGAUGUACGUGAUCGAUCGAUCCUUUCUAUUAUUUCUUUUAUAGAUGGUUCAUAUUCUUCUUCGGGUACUGCAUUGUAGUUAGUAAAUUUGCGGUAUGAAUACUUUGGCCGGUUGAAACUAGCCCACAAACAAAGAGAAAUGAAAAGAGUAUUAAGAAAGGAAAAAAGAGAGUGGGAGAAACAACAGAUCGAAACGAUUGAGGAGUUUUUUAAAGAUUCCAAAAUGUUUUUCAGAAAAGCCAACAAAAUAAGGUAAUCAUAUAAACCAAAAUCAGAAUAACGAAUUGAUAACAGAUCAACAAUCCAAUGCUGAAGAGCUCAAAAGAGUCUUCCAAGAAAUACUAGAUCAACCAGAAAUCGAGGAUCAUGGACAGGAUAAUGCUGUAUUCAUAACGAUAGAACAACACCAGGGAAGGGAGAAAUUAAAGAAGCUAUAAAUAUACUAAAGAAUAACAAAGAAAAAAUAUUAGAUUUUAAGCAGGCGUAAAAUUGUUUCAAGAAAAUAUCACUGUGGAAAAACAUAGAAAAAUUCACUAGACCAUCGAAAUUAGUCAGAAUAGUAAAAGCAUGCAUUCAGGAUUCAAGGUGUAAAAUCAAAUUGGAAAAUAUUUAUUCAGAAGAUUUCGAGACAAUAGUAGGUUAAAAAAAGGAAAUGCCCUGUCACCGAUGUUGUUUAACAUUUUCCUAGAGGUUGUUAGGAAGAUUUAAGAAACAGUGAAUGGUGUUAGUUUCAAUGGAAAAGUACACGCAUUACUAGCCUACGCUGAUGAUGUAGUGUAACUUGGAUCAAAUGAAGAAGAUAUAAAAAACAUUCCAAAGAAGCUGAUAACUAGAGCUCAGAGUAUGGGACUAAUAAUAAAUGAAGGGAAAACUUAAUAUAUGGCAGUUACAAGAGGUAACGAAGUAGACCAACAUAGAACUUUGGAGAUAGAAAAUUAUUGUUCUGAAAAAGUUUAAAGUUUUAAAUAUCUGGGAAUCAAUAUAAAUAGCUGCAAUAAUUACCAUGAAGACAUAAAUCUAAGGAUAAAAGCCGGAAACAGAUGCUAUUUCGCGCUACAAAAAUCUUUCAGGUCCAAAUUAUUAUAAAAAAAAAAAACAGAUAUACAACUAUACAAGGUUUUAGUGAAACCGGUGAUUCCA